rnacentral:lncRNA from 1 species
UGGUGGUUUUCAAUCUAUAAGAGUCGUACGAUUCUGAAUUAAAUGUGCGUGAAUUGAUUUUUUAAAUGUAGUUUCGAAUAAGGAUUGAGAUAGCUAACGUAGUACAUGUAGUAAUGUCGAUUAUGAAAAGUAAUUCUUACCAUCAGAUAUGAAAUGAAGUGUAGUACUGACAGAUCCAAUGAUAAUGGAGUUGAUAUCAUAUGACACGUUUUCAUGUGCUCAUAU